GAUCAUAAAAGGACCUUGAGCCGGGACUCAAACUCUGUGUCUGAGGCACACCAUAUGUCAGAGCACUGCCCACAAGGCUCUGACAGUUUACCACUAUUUUUAACAGGGAAACUUUAAUAAAAAAAAAAAGAAGAACAAAAUGUUCUAAUAUUAUAUGUCAGAAAUGAGUCAUCAAUCUACAAUACAUAAGAAUAAUGAAGGUGCAAAACUUAUACAGUACAUGCCGUGCAUGGGAAAUAGGAUGAGAUUAUUAAUGUUCUUACUACAGGUAAGAAGCAGCGCAGGGCCGAGUGGUGUUGGAGCUGAACGAGGCCGCUGGUGAGAUUGCUAAUGAGAGACGAACGCGACACAUGCCUCGCGAGCAGCGGAACUUUUAUUAUGCUGCAGUCGCCGGCGUCGCUUCUUCCGGUCAAGCGUAUGAGCAUUUAAUGCUGAGGAGGACUAGAGUCUACAAGCAUCAGAAGAACUGGACUAAGAAGAACACAGCCUCAAGAUGCAGCCUUCUAAUUGAGGAGCACCCUAUGACUCAGCAACAUCUGUGUGUUUUUAGAACACAGAGGAUCUCUUGAGAAAAGCUCUGAGGAGGACAUACCAGGCUAAUCGGCCCACAGAUGCCUUCUUAUUUUUGCACAUCACAAAGACCACAGCAGGGCUCCAGACAACCAAAAUAUGCAACAUAAAUAUGUGACAAAAAUAAUAUAUUAAAACCAGAAGAGCUUUGAGUGUGUCCGUAUGUGGUUGUGUCUGAUAUCUCAUUAUCUGGCAAACACUCACUAGAGUGGAACAACGAACACGCCGCAAGCCAUGUCCGAUUUACACACACAAAAAAUUACUCUUAGCUUUAUUUAUAUCAGGUUGUAGGUUUAUGAGACUCACAUGAGUCUACUGAGUGGUUGUUUAAAGGAUUUGUUAUUGUUUUAUAUUUAAGGACUGUAAGGGACUCUUUAGUGAGUGAUUCUAUAUAUAUUUAGCUGGGUUUGCACUACAAAUGUUUCUUUUUUGCUAACAUAAAACCAUUGUUAGUGUUAAUGUAUACCAUGAAGGUUUGUGUGCAGAACUUGCCUCUCUCAAGUGUUACUUCAUUAUUGUAGAGGAGUGAGACAAAGUCACAGUGCAUGAUUGUGUCUGUAUUACUUUCAUUACUUUCAUUAAUGAACACUCACAAAACAUUAUUGUGUCUAAUUGUGUUUUCUGACACCUCUAUCCUCAGCAUGUUUUUACAGGUAGGCCUAAGAACUGCAAAGCAAACCAAACAAACCAAAAUAAUAAUAAA